CAAAGUUUUUUUUUUAGUAGUCCUCACCAAGGCAUGAAUGCCAACUUGUUUCAUCCUAUAACUAUAGGCUUAUAUGGGGCUUGGUAGGGAUAAACAAGGUAGCAUACUCUACUUUGCAAAUAUUGUUAAGUCAAAAACAAGGAUCCAAAGAGAGGAGUGUCAUAGUCAUAGAUCAAGAUGUGCAAGUGUGUUAUAUGGUGGACUAGGUUGCUCCUUUAUUUGCUACACUCUCUCUACUUGUAUAUUGAGACAUGGCUAGAUUUUCUUUUUCUUCGAGCUUUAUGUGCUCAAUUUUUUUUUUAUAUUUCAUGGACUUGCACAUGUCCAUCUUUUCUUUUUCUUUUAUUUUGCCAAGCCUUUUAUGUCUCAUUUUCUAAACAAUAUUUAGAGAGGUGUUCUAACACUUAGAGUAUGGAGCAACCUAUUUAGUGGAUGCACAAUACAUGUGGUUGCGUACUUCCAGUGUAGAAGCAGCAUAUAUAUAUGUGGUGUGUACGUGAUCUUGAUCUUGUGACUAUGAUACAAUUCUCACUAGGGUCAACAAGGUUUUGACAAAACUCAUUACAAAAGCAGGUUGCAUUUCAUAAAAUGGUUACUUGAAUAUCUAAGUGUAUGGCUUUUGGUGGGAAUUUCUUGCUAAUGAGGAGUAAAUGAUACUAUGGUUUUGUGAUAUUUUUGAAACAAAUCUCUAAGUACCUUGAAUAGAAAUGUUAUGAAUUCUUAGCCAAGAGUUAUAUCACUUUCAUCAACAACUUAGUCAAUAUGGUUCCUAUAGAUUUUUACCCAUGAGGAUGAACAAUUGUAAGAACUAUACUUUAUGUCACAAUUUCUCUUAAAUCAUGAACCAGUUCACUUUUUAUUUUGCAAACAAGUUUAAAGUAUCAAAUUUUAUUUUAAUUGUGACACAAAGGUAAAGAAUUGGACAGACUGAGAGGGGGAAGAGUUAGCAAACCGGGCAGGAAAGAUGUGUUUCGUCGUAUAGAGGCUUCCUGGUGGGCCCAGGGCUCUAUGGAGGGGUCGGCCGACCCCACCUGGAGGUUCCUGGCCCUGCCACUCGAUUCUACGUCCCUCGGGAAGUCUUUCUGCACUUGUGUCGUUUCCUUUUGCCAUAGAAAGGGGGUCGGGCGACCCCCUCAUCGCGCCUGUUUUUGGUGCCAUGACGUGCCAAGGUGUAUGCAGUGUUGUUCCAUACUCACGGCAGUUCAGAGAUGAAGUUGGGGGGUCGGGCGACCCCCCCACACUUGCAGUUUUCGUGCAGCUGAACUUAAAACAGAGAGAGACGAUCAAAUGCAGAUGUCCUGCUGGUGGCAACACACCAGCAGGACCAAAAAUGACUCCAUUAAAUCAAAUUUCAAUUGUAUAGGCACUUUUACAUUGCGAAAUUCAAAGUGACAAAUUGAAAAAUAAAAUUGAGUAAUCAAACCUAAAUAAUCAAAUAGUGCCUAUAACCUAAACUAACUAAUUUAUUUAGGGAGAUGGAGGUUUGAGGAGAUCCUCCCGCCCAAUUGCUUGCGCCA
rnacentral:lncRNA from 1 species